rnacentral:rRNA from 1 species
UACGUAGGCAGCGAGCGUUGUUCGGAGUUACUGGGCGUAAAGGGUGUGUAGGCGGUUCUUUAAGUUUGGUGUGAAAUCUCCCGGCUCAACCGGGAGGGUGCGCCGAAUACUGAGGGACUUGGAGUGCGGGAGAGGAAAGUGGAAUUCUCGGUGUAGCGGUGAAAUGCGUAGAUAUCGAGAGGAACACCUGCGGCGAAGGCGGGUUGCUGGGCUGACACUGACGCUGACAGCGCGAAAGCUAGGGGAGCGAACGGG